CAGCAGCCACGGUAAUACGGAGGAUGCGAGCGUUAAUCGGAUUUACUGGGCGUAAAGCGUGUGUAGGUUGUUGUUCAAGUCAGUUGUGAAAUCCCUGGGCUCAACCUGGGAACUGCUUCUGAGACUGAACGACUAGAGUACGGUAGAGGGUGGUGGAAUUUCCGGUGUAGCGGUGAAAUGCGUAGAUAUCGGAAGGAACAUCAAUGGCGAAGGCAGCCACCUGGGCCUGUACUGACACUGAGACACGAAAGCGUGGGGAUCAAACAGGAUUAGAUACCCCGGUAGUCCCUGUCUCUUAUAC
rnacentral:rRNA from 1 species